AUCUCUUACACAGGCUGACCGAUCUCUCUUGGUGUUCAGAGUCUCAGUUUUUGUCUAGCACCAUUUGAAAUCGGUUAUGAUGUAGGGGGAAAAGCAACA
rnacentral:pre_miRNA from 1 species